rnacentral:rRNA from 1 species
GUGGUGGCCGCCUGAGGGGAAAGCGUCCCCAGUACGAGAGGAACGGGACGCUGUGGCCUCUAGUUUACCGGUUGUCCGACAGGGCACUGCCGGGCAGCCACGCCGCCGCGGAUAAGAGCUGAAAGCAUCUAAGCUCGAAGCCGCUCCCGAAACGAGGCGGCCAUUCCACGGCAGGAGACCUGGCAACAGGCCUCAGCCGUGGACGAGGGCUCCCGUAGAAGACGGGGUUGAUGGAACCGGGGUGUACGCCGGAAGGCUUCGGCCGACCGGCUCAGCCCGCGGUUCCCAAUCGCCCGAGGUGUCGGGUUG